AGCUCACCUUGUGAAUCUGCCAUUCGUGGCCGAAUUGUAGUCUGGAGAGGCGUGACCAGCCGUCGGCGAGGGCGAAGUCUCUUGGAAAAGAGCAUCGUGGAGGGUGACAAUCCCGUCUAUGCCCCCGCGCGACGCGCGUAUGGUCCGUUUUCGACGAGUCGAGUUGCUUGGGAUUGCAGCUCAAAGUGGGUGGUAAAUUCCAUCUAAAGCUAAACACGCGUGGGAGACCGAUAGCGAACAAGUACCGUGAGGGAAAGAUGCAAAGAACUUUGAAAAGAGAGUUAAAGAGUGCCUGAAAUUGCUGAAAGGGAAGCGAAGGAAAUCAGUGUCUGUCGGUUUUGCUUCUCCGUUCGUCUUCGGGCGUUCGGAUCGCGUUUCCGUCGUGGCCAGGGCCGGGUGUCUUUGCGGGAGCCUGCGUCGGGGGAGGUACGUCUCCUUUUGGGAGAGGGAAU
rnacentral:rRNA from 1 species